rnacentral:piRNA from 1 species
GACGAAUCAGCGGCUUGAAUUUUCACGG